UCUUUUCUGAGGACAGACAGAAAGAAAGGAAACUAAUAUAGGCUUCUAUUGUUUUAUUAGACUCCGAUAGCGUUUAUAACGUCAAAAGCAAUGUAUGAUCGAGAGUAGAGUGUGCGUAAUAGACUGCAUUGUCAUAUGUUGGAGUUGCUUGCACCACCGGGAGUAAAAUGUUAAAAUCGUUUGCAUGCUCAUUUAUAUAAUUAUUUACUAGAACCAAAGGAGAUUUUGGUUAUAGGCAAAUCUAAUUAAUGCAUAGCACAAAACUGUAAUCCAACAUUCUGGCAAUACUGCAAUAACUUGCUACAAUCACGUAAAACCGAUCAUUCGCAGUGGGCCAUGGCUCAUUUUAUACGUAAGUAUCCGUACAGUAACAGCCAUCAUGUAGAUUAGUUGGUAUAAAUAUAUCGUUUGCUUUAGGCCUGUUAUAACGGUAGCUCACGUACAAUAUGCACGGAGUCUUUUACGGCUGCGCUGACACGUUGAAUUAAGACUGUUGCGAGUAUUGUCACUACUGAAAGGUAAUAAAAAUAAAUACGCAUACGCAUAGAUAGACAGGACAAGUAAUUCUGAAAUCUUCAUCAGCGUUAUUACAACUGCAUAUAUAGACUACGUUAGUGGUCCCUAGGUAACUAUUAUUUCAUUUAAUAGACAACUGAUAGUGUUGUAGAUACCAUUUUCUCUAAUAGCUUUAAUAACGCGGGACCAUAAGAAAAAAAAAACUUUAAAAAUACACAAGUAAUUGCACGGAUUAUAUGCUCUACCGUAAUAGAAUUCAUUAAAUUAACCAGGGCAUCAAAUGUGUUUGAAAGCCAAUUUUCUAGUUAAAAUGGUAGACCAAAAUGAUCGUAUUCAUACUUUUAACCAAACGCGCACAAACCACAAUUGCAUUUACAUGGAAUACCAAAAGCAGUAACUGCAUUUCAAAAAUGUGUUUUCUUUAAUACAUGACGUCAUACAUCGAUUGUGUACAUCUUCUGUCAGCGUAGUAUUUUUAAGUAAAUCAUAUGCCUUUUGCAGGCAGAAUUAACUAUCACUGUCGCGUUCUGUAUUCACUGACACUACCAAACGCUUCUUCCAAAUUAAGUCACGACACUUCUCGACUAGUGAUAUCUUGAGUAUGGGUAAGAACGCUACUAAGAGGUUCAAUAUGCAUAAACACUUUAUGGUUGUAUUUAGGAUUAAAGACUCCCACACAGCGCAAAAUACCAGUCGUACCGUUCAGCUUACUUACUCAUCGAACCCAUGUUCCACAAGGAAACACAGGAUCCGUUCCAAGUUCAAAGUCACGUCUGCGGACCCCUCUAAGAAGUUCUUUAUUUCUCAAGAAAACCACAAAACCUUUCACCUUGUCAUGGGCAGGGAAAAGAAGAAAAAUAACGAAGGACAAGUGACCUUGGGUUUUUGAAGGGUGUUUGACCUUCGACCUGUGAAGACCACAUAUGCUGCCCCAUGAACAUACUGUUUAAGGAGUACAACCGUUAAAACAAAUCCCCUCUGUGUAAAAGUUUUCAUAUAGUGAAAAUGUUGUCAGUAAACAAACAGUAUUAAAUUUUAAAUAGUCCAUUCUUGGUGUAGCUAAUU